CCACCAUCUGCUCCGCAUCCUCCUCCGGCGCCCAUGGCGGAGGAAACCCUCGCGCCCUCGUCCUCGUACUCGGUCUCGUCGGCAAAGCCCUAAACCCUAGUCGACCUCCAUUUCGGAACCCUAGCCUUCCCGCGCCGCCGCCAUGGUCCGCAGUUGCGAUGUCCGUUUUGUCUCCUCCGGUGUCAAGCUCCCGUGCGAGUCCACCUCCGCGCUGGCCCCGUCCCCGUCCCCGUCUCCGGCACCCGCGCUCCUCUCCGCAGCGCUCCCGUUCGCGCACAUCGGCCGCGCCAUCGAUGCCGCCGCCCGCCGCCUGGGCUCCUGCCUCCCACGCGUCCCUGUUGCGCGGGCCGACCCGGCUCCGUCCCCGCCACGGCGGCACGGCAAGGACGGCGGAGGGCCCGAGGAGCGGGUGCUGAUCAGCGAGGUCGCGGUGCGGGGAAAGGACGGGGAGCCCCUGGAGCUGCCCGAGCUGGAGGCCGCGGCCGCCGCGGCGCUGCGCGCGUGCCGCCCCAACGCCGCGCUCACCGUGCGGGAGGUGCAGGAGGACGUGCACCGCAUCGUCGAGAGCGGACUCUUCCGAUCGUGUAUGCCCGUCGCUGUCGACACCCGCGAUGGCAUUCGCCUCGUCUUUGAGGUGGAGCCGAACCAAGACUUCCAUGGGCUGGUAUGCGAGGGCGCCAACAUGCUACCGUCCAAGUUCAUGGAAGAUGCAUUUCGCGAUCGCCAUGGAAAAAUUAUUAACAUUAGGCAUCUGGAUCAAGUGAUCAAGUCUGUUAACAGAUGGUAUCAGGAGCGUGGCCUAACUGGGUUGGUUUCAUAUGCUGAGAUACUUUCUGGAGGGAUUCUGAGGCUGCAGGUUUCAGAAGCUGAGGUUAAUAACAUUAGCAUUCGCUUUCUAGACAGGAAGACCGGUGAACCAACUGUUGGAAAAACACAGACGGAAACCAUCCUUCGGCAGCUUACCACCAAGAAAGGGCAGGCUUACAAUAGAGCACAAGUGAAAAGGGAUGUAGAAACAAUACUUACUAUGGGAAUCAUGGAAGAUGUUACGAUAAUCCCACAGCCAGUUGGAGAUUCUAAUAAAGUAGACCUUGUCAUGAAUCUUGUUGAACGCCCUUCGGGUGGUUUCUCUGCUGGUGGUGGAAUUUCAAGUGGGAUAACAAAUGGACCCCUUUCUGGACUUAUUGGCAGCUUUGCAUAUUCACAUCGGAAUGUUUUUGGGAGGAACAAGAAAUUAAAUCUCUCUUUGGAAAGGGGGCAAAUCGAUUCAAUAUUUAGAUUGAACUUUACUGACCCUUGGAUUGAUGGAGACAACAAGAGAACCUCUAGAACUGUUAUGGUUCAGAACUCUAGGACUCCUGGAACACUUGUUCAUGGUGGUGAUCAUCCUGACCAUGCGCCUAUAACAAUUGGACGUGUUAUUGCUGGCUUAGAAUAUAGUCGACCAUUCAGACCCAAGUGGAGUGGGACACUUGGCUUAAUUUUUCAGCAUGCUGGUGCUCGUGAUGAUAAAGGGAAUCCGGUCAUCAGGGAUUUCUAUAACAGCCAAUUGACUGCCAGUGGACAUGAUUAUGAUGAUACACUGUUAGCUAAGUUUGAAAGUAUCUACACAGAUUCUGGAGACCAUAGCUCUACAAUGUUUGUUUUCAACAUUGAGCAAGGUCUCCCUGUUCUCCCGGAGUGGCUAAGCUUCAACCGACUGACAGCACGCUUGAGGCAGGGCUAUGAAAUUGGUCCUGCUAGGCUUCUUCUAAGUGCCUCUGGAGGUCACAUGGAGGGAAAUUUUCCACCUCAUGAAGCAUUUGCAAUUGGUGGGACAAAUAGUGUAAGAGGAUAUGAAGAAGGUGCUGUUGGCUCUGGGCGUUCUUAUGCUGUAGGUAGUGGUGAAGUGUCAUGCCGCAUGGUAAACUUCUUUCUCCUCUCGACCUUACUGGCUUUUUGUUGUUGUCAAAUGGACUCCACAUGGAAGUAUGACAGGCACAACUGAAUGGUAAUUUACCACAGAAUGCCGUACUGGCAACACCGCAACAAGGAUUUAGUUCAAGAAAAUCAGAAAGGAAACAAACAGUUUGGGCCACUGGAAGGCGUGGUCUUUGGAGACUAUGGUAGUGAUCUUGGUUCUGGUCCUAAAGUUCCUGGUGACCCAGCCGGAGCUCGUGGAAAGCCAGGGAGUGGCUUUGGCUAUGGUGUUGGCGUCCGCGUGGACUCCCCUCUGGGACCUCUACGGCUUGAGUACGCCUUUAAUGAUAGGCAAGCAAGCAGAUUUCACUUUGGUGUUGGCUACAGAAAUUAACAUGUAUAUUGGUCACAUUCUGAUUCAAUCUUGUUCUUCUGAGCAUUUUGGGCUGGUAGAAACUAGUGCCAUGCCUUCCAUUUUUUGGCGAUAUCAAAGCAAGUUUUGUCCAGAUCAGAUUUCAUUUUUUUUGUAACAUAUAGUUCCUUUACUUCUGUUGAGUGUUCUUCAUCUAGAGAAAUUAAAUGGACCCUUACUGGUAGGUUUUA